ACGGGAGGCAGCAGUGGGGGAUAUUGCACAAUGGGGGAAACCCUGAUGCAGCGACGCCGCGUGAAGGAAGACGAUCUCCGGAUUGUAAACUUCUAUCAGCAGGGAAGAAGAUGACGGUACCUGACUAAGAAGCCCCGGCUAACUACGUGCCAGCAGCCGCGGUAAUACGUAGGGGGCAAGCGUUAUCCGGAUUUACUGGGUGUAAAGGGAGCGUAGACGGCAUAGCAAGUCUGAUGUGAAAACCCGGGGCGCAACCGCUGGAUUGCAUUGGAAACUGUUAAGCUUGAGUACUGGAGUGGUAAGCGGAAUUCCUAGUGUAGCGGUGAAAUGCGUAGAUAUUAGGAGGAACACCGGUGGCGAAGGCGGCUUACUGGACAGUAACUGACGUUGAGGCUCGAAAGCGUGGGGAGCAAACAGGAUUAGAUACCCUGGUA
rnacentral:rRNA from 1 species